GACGAACGCUUGCGGCGUGCUUAACACAUGCAAGUCGAGCGGUAAGGCCCCUUCGGGGGUACACGAGCGGCGAACGGGUGAGUAACACGUGAGCAACCUACCCUCAACUUUGGGAUAAGCCUCGGAAACGGGGUCUAAUACCGAAUAUCACUCCUUGUUUCAUGGCGGGGGGUUGAAAGUUCUGGCGGUUGGGGAUGGGCUCGCGGCCUAUCAGCUUGUUGGUGGGGUAAUGGCCUACCAAGGCGUCGACGGGUAGCCGGCCUGGGAGGGCGACCGGCCACACUGGGACUGAGACACGGCCCAGACUCCUACAGGAGGCAGCAGUGGGGAAUAUUGCGCAAUGGACGAAAGUCUGACGCAGCAACGCCGCGUGAGGGAUGACGGCCUUCGGGUUGUAAACCUCUUUCAGCAGGGACGAAGCGAGAGUGACGGUACCUGCAGAAGAAGGACCGGCCAACUACGUGCCAGCCGCCGCGGUAACAC
rnacentral:rRNA from 1 species